rnacentral:rRNA from 1 species
AACGAACGCUGGCGGCAUGCCUAACACAUGCAAGUCGAACGAGACCUUCGGGUCUAGUGGCGCACGGGUUCGUAACGCGUUGGAACCUGCCCUUAGGUUCGGAAUAACUCCCCGAAAGGGGUGCUAAUACCGGAUAAUGUCUUCGGACCAAAGAUUUAUCGCCUUUGGAUGGGCCCGCGUUGGAUUAGCUUGUUGGUAGGGUAAAAGCCUACCAAGGCGACGAUCCAUAGAUGGUCUGAGAGGAUGAUCAGCCACACUGGGACUGAGACACGGCCCAGACUACUACGGGAGGCAGCAGAGGGGAAUAUAGGAAAAUGGGGGAAAGGCUGAUCAAGCAAUGCCGGGAGAGUGAUGAAGGCAUUAGGGUUGUAAAGCUAUUUUAACCGGGAAGAUAAUGACAGUACCGGGAGAAUAAGCACCGGCUAACUCCGUG